rnacentral:lncRNA from 1 species
GGAAAAAACGCACAAAAAGUAAAAAAAAAUAACCAUCAUUUAUCAUUACUUAUUAGAGGAGGAUAGCAAUGGUCAGGUGUGUGGGGGUGUACUCCGCCAGAAAAUUUUUGAAAUUUGAAGCACGGAAAUGCCAUUUCCUGCAUUCUGAGCAUUCAAAUUUGCUCUAAAAUUUAUGCUAACUAUACUUGUAUUUGAAAUAAAAGAUGGAAAAAAUGCA